AAAAUGUGGGAGAGACAACAUAUACAAAUUUUGCUUCCACACUGUUGAGCAAGAGAUUGUGAUGCAAGCCACACCUUGUAGUAGUUGAAGGUUUGGAUGAACCAUAUAAAUUGAAUUUGCUUCGAAGGUCUGAGAAUUGUAGUUGCCCUCCAUUGGUGAAGCUUUUGUUGGCACCAUAAAUUGGUUUUGCUUCACACUGUCUUGAUCAAGAGUGUGAAGCUUUUGAGAAUUGUGGUUGA
rnacentral:lncRNA from 1 species